GGGUUUCGGCUCGUAAAACUCUGUUAUCGGAGAAGAAUAGGGGUAAGAGUAACUGUUUACCUCCUGACGGUAUCCGACCAGAAAGCCACGGCUAACUACGUGCCAGCAGCCGCGGUAAUACGUAGGUGGCAAGCGUUGUCCGGAUUUAUUGGGCGUAAAGCGAGCGCAGGCGGUUUUUUAAGUCUGAUGUGAAAGCCUUCGGCUCAACCGAAGAAGUGCAUCGGAAACUGGGAAACUUGAGUGCAGAAGAGGACAGUGGAACUCCAUGUGUAGCGGUGAAAUGCGUAGAUAUAUGGAAGAACACCAGUGGCGAAGGCGGCUGUCUGGUCUGUAACUGACGCUGAGGCUCGAAAGUGUGGGUAGCAAACAGGAUUAGAUACCCUGGUAGUCCACACCGUAAACGAUGAAUGCUAAGUGUUGGAGGGUUUCCGCCCUUCAGUGCUGCAGCUAACGCAUUAAGCAUUCCGCCUGGGGAGUACGACCGCAAGGUUGAAACUCAAAGGAAUUGACGGGGGCCCGCACAAGCGGUGGAGCAUGUGGUUUAAUUCGAAGCAACGCGAAGAACCUUACCAGGUCUUGACAUCUUUUGCCAGCCUAAGAGAUUAGGUGUUCCCUUCGGGGACAAAAUGACAGGUGGUGCAUGGUUGUCGUCAGCUCGUGUCGUGAGAUGUUGGGUUAAGUCCCGCAACGAGCGCAACCCUUAUAAUUAGUUGCCAGCAUUCAGUUGGGCACUCUAGUUAGACUGCCGGUGACAAACCGGAGGAAGGUGGGGAUGACGUCAAAUCAUCAUGCCCCUUAUGACCUGGGCUACACACGUGCUACAAUGGAUGGUACAACGAGUCGCUAGACCGCGAGGUCAUGCUAAUCUCUUAAAACCAUUCUCAGUUCGGAUUGUAGGCUGCAACUCGCCUACAUGAAGCUGGAAUCGCUAGUAAUCGCGGAUCAGCACGCCGCGGUGAAUACGUUCCCGGGCCUUGUACACACCGCCCGUCACACCAUGAGAGUUUGUAACGCCCAAAGCCGGUAGGGUAACCUUUUAGGAGCCAGCCGUCUAAGGCGGGACAGAUGAUUAGGGUGAAGUCGUAACAAGGUAGCCGUAGGAGAACCUGCGGCUGGAUCACCUCCUUUCU
rnacentral:rRNA from 1 species